UGCAGUGUCACGAUUCUGGUUGACGCAUGCGCGGUCCGCCUUCCCUUGCCUGGACGAGCCACAUCUAAGGGCCACCUUCAAGCUGACCAUAGUAAGAGACAGAUUCCACGUAUCGCUGACAAAUAUGCCCAUAAUGGCUACAGAGGAGGCUGGCUUCUAUUUGGGACACCGACUGCUGCAAGACGAAUUCGGUCAGUCCCCCCCAAUGCCCCCCCACAUGAUGUCAAUGGCCGUGUGUCGGCUGCAGCGCCGCGCCGCGCCCCCCCUGCCUACCGACGCGACCCCCACGGUGAC